CCUUUCUACAGUAAUUCAAACCCACUAUCAAAAUUUGAGACAAUUUUGACUUUUUUAAGCAUAUUUGGUUAAUUUUUUUUCUUUCAUUGCAUUUUUCGGACCACUCCAAAUUUAAACUGCAGGUACAUGAAAUAAUGCACUAGGGUCAUUCGAAAAAUGAUAUCCAUGGUGUUUGGGGUAUGUUGAGGCCGUAUCCAGGAGCUCGCAUGAAAUUACCACCAUCAUGCCGUCGUGACAUGAGGAGGUAAUCGCGUAGAAAGAGUAUUUAAAUUAUAAAAAAUCCGAACGACGUCCGAAAAUCACGAAACUUGUUGAUGUGUCUUGGUAUCCCAUGUGGAG
rnacentral:lncRNA from 1 species